UAAAUACUCACAUUCUUUUUUUUUUUUUCCAAAUGAUGCCAUUAUGGCUAGAACUGCAUAAUAACACCUCCUUUUCAUAUCUUUCCCUGAAGUCUCUUGGAUUUAACUGGCACUUCCUUGUGAGAGGGUCUACACACCAUAACAUCAGAAAGACCUGUGAUCAUACAAAGCCUCCCUUCUUUCCUCAUUUUUUCCUGGAGAGUGGAGAUUGUGUUCAUGUGCCCAAUGUAACAUCCUCAUCUUGUUUUAGCAGUUUACCUGGCACUUUCCUGUUCUUUGUAGUCCUAGGAGAUCAUCAUUGAUUCAUGCUCAGGACUUUCAUCUAAAUAUAGCAAAUAGUCUUCCUAUGACCUCCUUUUGGUAUCUUAACCCUUCUCUCUCUUGGUCCUCUUGCUUACCUGGUUCCAUUUGAUUAUACAUCAGAAUUCUUCAUUGGACUGCAAACUCUUUUGAAGACAAACUCUAGAAGGUAUUUUUUGCUACCUUCUUCAUCCUAAGGCUGCAGCAUUAACAGCACAGCUGGAAAGGCAGUAACAGCCAUGCCCUGGGGCCCUGAGCUAAGCCAGCAGAAGCAGACUUGGGCCUUUGAACCCCAGAAGGAGGGGAAGCAGGACUAUAAGCUGUUGCUUAGUAUGAUUUGCUUGGAGAAAAAGCCUAGGAAAAGAUGAUCUUGUGGAGAUCCUGUCGCCAGCAAACCAGGAGAACAAAAAGACAGAACCCAUCACAUCACCUCCAUCCUACCCAGGUCACCUUGAUGGGAUUGGAGCUUUCUCCUCAGUCACUUUUCAGUUUCAGGUUGGCUUUGGACCUGUGUUCUUCAUGCCAAGAAUGUUACGACGCUUCAGACCUGUCCUUCACACUGAAGACCUGGGAAGAGGAGGAGCUGGAAAGGGAGGAGAAGGAGGAAGGGAGGAGGAGAAUGAUGAUGAUAUAGAGGUAUCCCUGGACCCUGGGUUGAUUCCUGGGUUGGGUAGGUACACUGGAGAAGGGAUAGACUACCCAAUUCUGUAUUCUUGGGCUUCCCAUGUGGCUCAGCUGGUAAAAGAAUCUACCUGCAAUGCAGGAGACUUGGGUGGGGAAGAUCCCCUGGAGAAGGGAAAGGACCUGGAGAAUUCCAUGGACUGGCAUGGGUGGCAAAGAGUCAGACACAACUGGGCGACUUUCACCUUCAGAGGUAUCCCUAGAGGAGUAGACUCCUGUCAAACAAGUCAAGAGACUCGUGCUGCAUAA
rnacentral:lncRNA from 1 species